CACGGCGCACGGGUGCGUAACACGUGGGCAAUCUGCCCUCCGAUGGGGAAUAACCCGCCGAAAGGCGGGCUAAUACCGCAUAACAUUCCCCUCGGCAAAGGCGCGUCGGAGGUGGAGCCCGCGCACGAUUAGCUAGUUGGUAGGGUAACGGCCUACCAAGGCUAUGAUCGUUAGCUGGUCUGAGAGGAUGGCCAGCCACACUGGAACUGAGACACGGUCCAGACUCCUACGGGAGGCAGCAGUGGGGAAUCUUGCGCAAUGGGCGAAAGCCUGACGCAGCGACGCCGCGUGGGGGAUGAAGCAUUUCGGUGUGUAAACCCCUUUCGACUGGGACGAAUGACGGUACCAGUAGAAGAAGCCCCGGCUAACUACGUGCCAGCAGCCGCGGUAAGACG
rnacentral:rRNA from 1 species